rnacentral:rRNA from 1 species
GACGAACGCUGGCGGCGUGCUUAACACAUGCAAGUCGAGCGGUAAGGCCCUUUCGGGGGUACACGAGCGGCGAACGGGUGAGUAACACGUGGGUGACCUGCCCUCAGCUCUGGGAUAAGCCUGGGAAACCGGGUCUAAUACCGGAUAUGACUCCAUGACGCAUGUUGUGGGGUGGAAAGCCUUGUGCGGCUGAGGAUGGGCCCGCGGCCUAUCAGCUUGUUGGUGGGGNGAUGGCCUACCAAGGCGACGACGGGUAGCCGGCCUGAGAGGGCGACCGGCCACACUGGGACUGAGACACGGUCCAGACACCUACGGGUGGCAGCAGUCGAGAAUUUUUCUCAAUGGGGGAAACCCUGAAGGAGCGACGCCGCGUGGAGGAUGAAGG